CAAGAUACAAAUUUAUAUUAAUCAAUUAAUAGCAUCUGCAGUAUUAACUCUUUUACAUUAACUAAAAUUUGAAGAAAAGAACUAGUCAAUGUGAGGCUUUAUGGUAAUAGAGACAGAAAUAAUGUACGACAUUCCACAUGAACGAAUAUAAGCAUUUGCUUAAUGAUUCAUGUUGCCACCCCCGUUUGAUCUUGAUGAUUUAUGUUACCACCUUCAUCGCAGUUGUUGAUCUUUAUACAUCGAAGAAUAUAUGAAGCACUCUUCAAAAUCACUAGACUGAAAUAUAAAAUAAAAUGAUCUUGUGAAAAAUUUAUAUUUGAAUUAUUAGAACAUAUACCAAUUAGAUGCAUUUACAGUUAAUAAUUAAAAAUUCAAUGAAUCAUGGAAUAAGAAAAACUUAGCCAUGUAUCAGGUUAAAAAGAACUAAACUUGGAAGGAAAAAGAAAAAGGAAUUUAAAUAAACAUCAUAAAACUUAAGAAGAUGAAAAAAAACUUACGGUUUCGCAUUAAGAGAUAAUACAAUUUUUCAAAGGCACUUUUCUCUUGAGCAUCCUGUAAAUCAAAAAUAAAUAAUUGAAGUAGAAACUCAAGUCAAUUAGGCGUAAGGCACAAAAUCUAUCAAAUCUUUAAAAUUGCACUCAUCACUUAUCAAAAAAUAAGGCAUAAUAUUUAUCAAAUUGCUGGAAUAGCCCAUAAAAUUGAACUAAAAACCCCAAACUCAAGUAGGCGUAUGAAGAUUCAAAAAUACUAUGAUAUAGAGACAUGAG
rnacentral:lncRNA from 1 species